rnacentral:sRNA from 1 species
UGAUAGAAUAGCACCUACUCCAUUGGGC